UUUCUCUGUCUGUUUUUGUGCUCUUCUUCCGCUCUGAGCUGGGGUCAUGUCUUCUCUCUCUCUCUGUCUCUCUCUGUCUGUCUGUGUGCUCUUCUUCCGCUCUGAGCUGGGGUCAUGUCUUCUCUCUCUCUCUGUCUCUCUCUGUCUUUGUACUCUUCCUCCGCUCUGAGCUGGGGUCAGUGUCUCCUCUCUCUCUCUCUCUCAGUCUCUGUCUGUCUGUCUGUCUGUGUGCUCUUCUUCUGCUCUGAGCUGGGGUCAUGUCUUCUCUCUCUCUCUGUCUGUCUGUCUGUGUGCUCUUCUUCCGCUCUGAGCUGGGGUCAGUGUCUUCUCUCUCUCUCUCUCUCUCUCUCUGUCUCUCUCUGUCUGUGUGCUCUUCUCUCUCUCUCUGUCUGUCUGUCUGUCUGUCUGUGUGCUCUUCUUCCGCUCUGAGCUGGGGUCAGUGUCUUCUCUCUCUCUCUGUCUCUCUCUGUCUGUGUGCUCUUCUUCUGCC